rnacentral:rRNA from 1 species
UACGUAGGGGGCAAGCGUUGUCCGGAUUUAUUGGGCGUAAAGCGCUCGCAGGUGGUCCGAUGCGUCGUGCGUGAAAGCCCCCGGCUCAACUGGGGAGGGUCACGCGAUACUGAUCGACUGGAAGGCAGGAGAGGGUAGUGGAAUUCCCGGUGUAGUGGUGAAAUGCGUAGAUAUCGGGAGGAACACCAGUGGCGAAGGCGACUACCUGGCCUGUUCUUGACGCUGAGGCGCGAAAGCUAGGGGAGCAAACGGG